UGCUAGAGAAUGGGGUCUACAAAUAAAUAAAUAUCUUCAGCAACCUUUUCUGAUUAUUUAUACUUUUAUAGUAAUGUAUAUGCUAAUACAGAAAAUUAAUUAUAAGAUUUUAUAAAAUUAAAAAAAAAAAUUAAAAAUCAGUCAUUGGUACAAUAUUUAUAAUCAGUCAUUGCUUAUAUAUGUUGGAGCUUCCUUAGACCACCUCCUUCUGUCUUCCUCUCACACAUAUGUGUGUGUAUGCAUAUAGGGGAGAGAGAGAGAGAGAGAGGUUUGAAGGAGAAGCAGAUUGGAUUCUACUGCAACUGGAGGAGGCAUCCAAAGGGAUCGCAUUGAUCCUAACUAUCUCUUUGAUCAAAAUUAUGUUUUAUAUAUAUAUAUAUAUAUAUAUAUAUUUUCUAAGCUCGUAUCGAAUUUGGAUCAUGCUAUCCCUUCGGAUACAUCCUUUAGUAGCUUCUACCAUGGUGCAAUCUCAUUUCUGAAAUCCAUCGGAAUUCAUUCCCGAACUCAACGGAGAAAGGUUCAACCUUCGAAACAUACCAGAGAGAAAAAAACUACAUUGCAAACAUCUUCAAACAAGUAUUCUGGGGGGAAAAAAUUGUAGGCACCAACGAUAUGCAGCAAAGGUGAGAAAGAGAAUCCAUAUGGCCAACCCCAUUCGUUUAGAAAAAAGACAAGGAUGAUGAUGACAUCAUGAUGGUAUGCAGCAAAGGUGAAAAUUAGUUAACAUGUCCGGAUUCAAACCCUUAAAUGCUCUAUAUAAAGGAGCAGUACGUUGUAACAUUAUACUGAAAUUGUGGACUAGUAGAAUUGUGAUUGGAACAUUACCCAAAAUCUAGAUUGAUUUUAUUAUGACAACUCACAAUUUCCUUUU